UUAAAGGUGUGAAUUUUUUUUAUUAAUUUAAUUUAUUUUUAAAUUAGAGCAUCUAGAAGGGGUAUUUUUAUUAUUUAAAUUAAUUGUGUUUCUUUGCUUUCAUAUUGACCAUUAGAUUCGAUUGAUCAUUGGUUCAUGCUUGCAAUCCAUGUAAUUCUUGUUUCAACCAAUCAAAAAAUAGAAAUAAAUUAAAUUAAAAAUAAGAAAAUGAAUAGAAGGAUAUCUCUCUCCUCUCAUGGCUCGGUAUACUAAAGGUUCUCUCAAAAAAUAAA
rnacentral:lncRNA from 1 species